UAACGAAUCUUCCGCAAUGUACGAAAGUAUGACGGAGCGACGCUGCGUGGAGGAGAAGCCCUUCGGGGUGUAAACUCCUGUCAGGGGAUACCAAGUUCUGAGGAUCCCCAGAGGAAGAGGCGGCUAACUCUGUGCCAGCAGCCGCGGUAAGACAGAGGCCUCGAGCGUUAGGCGGAAUCACUGGGCUUAAAGCGUGUGUAGGCGGAUUCUUAAGUACCUUGUGAAAUCCCACGGCUCAACCGUGGAACUGCUCGGUAUACUGGGAGUCUUGAGCCAUCCAGGGGUUACCGGAACAAACGGUGGAGCGGUGAAAUGCGUAGAUAUCGUUUGGAACGCCAAUGGUGAAAACAGGUAACUGGGGAUGCGCUGACGCUGAGACACGAAAGCCAGGGGAGCAAACGGGAUUAGAUACCCCCGUAGUCC
rnacentral:rRNA from 1 species